UGGGGAAUUUUGGACAAUGGGCGAAAGCCUGAUCCAGCAAUGCCGCGUGUGUGAAGAAGGCCUUCGGGUUGUAAAGCACUUUUGUCCGGAAAGAAAUCCUUGGCUCUAAUACAGUCGGGGGAUGACGGUACCGGAAGAAUAAGCACCGGCUAACUACGUGCCAGCAGCCGCGGUAAUACGUAGGGUGCAAGCGUUAAUCGGAAUUACUGGGCGUAAAGCGUGCGCAGGCGGUUUGCUAAGACCGAUGUGAAAUCCCCGGGCUCAACCUGGGAACUGCAUUGGUGACUGGCAGGCUAGAGUAUGGCAGAGGGGGGUAGAAUUCCACGUGUAGCAGUGAAAUGCGUAGAGAUGUGGAGGAAUACCGAUGGCGAAGGCAGCCCCCUGGGCCAAAUACUGACGCUCGUGCACGAAAGCGUGGGGAGCAAACAGGAUUAGAUACCCUGGUAGUCCACGCCCUAAAACGAUGUCAACUAGUUGUUGGGGAUUCAUUUCCUUAGUAACGUAGCUAACGCGUGAAGUUGACCGCCUGGGGAGUACGGUCGCAAGAUUAAAACUCAAAUGAAUUGACGGGGUCAUAGCUGUUUCCU
rnacentral:rRNA from 1 species